UGGUGGAGUGAUUUGUCUGGUUAAUUCCGUUAACGAACGAGACCUCGACUUACUAAAUAGCUUGCGUCACGUUUCGGCGUGGCGACCCUUUCUACAGGCUUCUUAGAAGGACUAUUGGCGCGUAGCCAGUGGAAGUUCGAGGCAAUAACA
rnacentral:rRNA from 1 species